rnacentral:rRNA from 1 species
AGUGAACGCUGGCGGUAGGCCUAACACAUGCAAGUCGAACGGCAGCACAGGAGAGCUUGCUCUCUGGGUGGCGAGUGGCGGACGGGUGAGGAAUACAUCGGAAUCUACUUUUUCGUGGGGGAUAACGUAGGGAAACUUACGCUAAUACCGCAUACGACCUACGGGUGAAAGCAGGGGAUCUUCGGACCUUGCGCGAUUGAAUGAGCCGAUGUCGGAUUAGCUAGUUGGCGGGGUAAAGGCCCACCAAGGCGACGAUCCGUAGCUGGUCAGAGAGCAUGAUGAGCCACACUGGAACGGGGACACGGUCCAGACUCCUACGGGAGGCAGCAGUGGGGAAUAUUGGACAAUGGGCGCAAGCCUGAUCCAGCCAUACCGCGUGGGUGAAGAAGGCCUUCGGGUUGUAAAGCCCUUUUGUUGGGAAAGAAAUCCAGCUGGUUAAUACCCGGUUGGGAUGACGGUACCCAAAGAAUAAGCACCGGCUAACUUCGUGCCAGCCGCCGCCGUAA